CUCAGAAGUCUUCGAGUUGCCGUAGGAGGCGGUUGGGCCGUGGGGCUCUCCCGGGCUGGGCCUUGGCGGCCCUGGUGGCCCUGGUGGCCCCGGCCCUCAUCCUCCGGCCUUCAGGGUCCCGAUUCCACACCCCACGCUGUGGUGUCCUUGAAUCCCUGGGCCCCCCAGCCUGGUAUGUGAGGCCCCCAGGCCGGCAGGCCAAGCAGCAGCCACCUGUGGCCAGUUCAUUUGACUAGCUCUGACUGAGCAGCCUGCCAAGUCAUCAGAACAAGAAACUUCACUGAACAAUCUUUUUCGGAAGACUUAUCUGAAGUGCAAACAGGGUUUGUCAAAGAGGCAAGAACUGUCUUUCUCUGCUUGUAUUUGUAUUUUCAGCACCUAGCACAGUGCCCAGCAUAGAGUAAGCAGCUAAUAAAUACUUUCUGACCACAUGCA
rnacentral:lncRNA from 1 species